GAAGUGAAGAGGAAAGGAAAGAACACAAACCCUAGGUGGGAAAAUUGAAGAAAAAAUGUGGGAUUUCAAGGAUUAAGCUAAUUUGUGGAGGGGCAUUUUAAUAAUUUCCAAGGGAGUGGAUAAGCUUGGGCCAUAAAUAUCCUCUCUUUCCAGCAACUUCUUGGGAUUUCCAGCAGCUUCCUCUUCUUGUUCUUUUCCCUCUCACGUUUCUUCAAUUUUUCCAUGGAAGCUUGAUAUGAAGCUUUCAUAACUUUCUCUCUCUAGCUCUAAUUUUCAUACCCUGGUGCCCUUUUGACUAGAACCUUUGUAUUCUUCCACUAUUUCACUUUAAAACCCUUGAAAUGAUGAAAUCUGGUUUCCNACCGCUUUCAACUUCAUGUUUUCAGAUUAAGAGACAGCCAAUAAUUAGGACGAGGUGUCCUCGUGGACUUGUAUCCAUCUUUUGGUAGGUGUCUCGGCAUUCAGUAACUAUACAUUCGUUCGAGUCUCUCCGCUGGACAUUGAGUCUCCUUUUGUUGUGUAUAGACGAACCUAAUGUGAAUUAUUAAGAUACAUAUGUAGACAGUGUAUAUACACUUGUUUGGUAUGCUAGUAUGAAGUGGCAAUGCUUAAUAUUAUUUUGAUUCUAAGUUAUGAUAUAUGACUUAGCAGUUUAUGAUGGAAUGAUGAACAUGUCAGAUUAAUAGCUGGCUUGGGCUUAGUGGACUACGUCCAUUGGGCCCAUGCGUCGGUCAUGGCCCAGAAUUUGGGUCGUGACAACUACCACUGACUUCCUAU
rnacentral:lncRNA from 1 species